rnacentral:misc_RNA from 1 species
AAGUCGUAACAAGGUUUCCGUAGGUGAACCUGCGGAAGGAUCAUUACAACGUAUCCAACGUAAACAAACGCGAACUUCCCUUUGGGUCACAGGACCAAAUGCAGGCCGCUGCUUUGGUUAUGAGGUUAGUUAGGCUGAACUGUUAACAGAGUGUUCCGUUGAUGGAGGUGUCUGGAGAAGUCCAGUCGCCUGGAGCACCAGUUCUUGGCCCGGAUCAGUUCUUCGCGAACGUGUCCGAACUUCGCCUGUCCCAAAGUGUAUCAACCAUCAGAUCUUAUUGUACCCUUUAUUAACCCUGUAAACUUUUGAACUGAACUCUGAGAGCAGUGCGGCAGUCGUUGUUGGCUUCGGUCACGGAUCGCUUAACGCAUUGUCUUUCUAAACUUUACGUAAUUAAGAACAGCUCUUAACAACGGAUAUCUUGGCUCUC